AGCAGCAACAGCAGCAACCUCAACAGCCUCAACAUCAGCAUCAGCAUCCACAGCAACAGCAUCAGCAACAACUGCAGAUGCAACAACUUUUACUGCAGAGGCAUGCUCAGCAACAACAGCAGCAGCAACAACAACAACAGCAGCAACAGCAGCAGCAGCAGCAGCAGCAGCAACAACAGCAGCAGCAGCAACAACAACAACAACAGCAACAGCAACAACAGCAGCCGCAGCAGCAGUCUCCCCAGCAGCCGCAACAGCCCCAACAACGAAGGGAUGGGUCUCAUCUCCUAAAUGGCAGUACAAAUGGACUUGUUGGGAAUGACUCUCUCAUGCGUCAGCCUGCUGGAACUGCUAAUGCCAUGGCAACAAAGAUGUACGAGGAAAGACUAAAGUUGCCACUUCAAAGGGAUUCUUUGGAUGAUGCGGCCAUGAAGGUAGGUGGAUCACCUUUGAUUUCUUAGAAACAUGUUCUUCUUUUAGUCAUAACCAUUAAGGAACUCCCUACAGCAAAGGUAUGGUGAGAAUGUUGGCCAGCUUUUGGAUCCAAAUCAUGCCUCAAUACUGAAGCCUGCUGCAGCAACCAGCCAACCUUCAGGGUGAGUUAUUCUACAUUUCUUUUAUUACUCAGAAGAGCCUUUGGCUGCAGAUGAUUUUGUAAAGAGCAAUGUGAACAAAGUCUCAUGGACAUUGACUAAGACAAUUUGCAAAAAUGCUUCAGAAGGUGUUCGAUAUAGUUUUUAGGGCAAUUCCCUUCAAUCUUAUGGUUGGUUUGCUCUAACAAAAUACUUUGGAGUUGUUUCACGUUCUUUUAUCUGAAAUAGCCAGUAGGACAUUUAGGGUUUGUUGAAGCAUCCAAUACUUAGUUGUUUACAGCAAUAAACAAAUUUGGCAUCAUGCAAAUUCCAGGCAAGUGCUGCAUGGGACUGCCGGUGGUAUGUCUCCUCAAGUUCAGGCUCGGAGUCAGCAAUUGCCAGGAACAACACCGGUAGGUUUGUUUGAUCUCUUUCAUUUGAUCUCUUAUAUUGAUCUCUUUCAUUUGAUGCUUCUCUUUGUCAUGUUCUGAAAUUUAUCUGGAAGCAGGACAUAAAGAGUGAGAUAAAUCCAGUAUUGAAUCCCAGGGCUACUGGCCCAGAUGGAUCUUUAAUAGGAAUUCCAGGUAGGUUUGUUUCACUUUCUUAGGUUCUGUUCAAUUCUUUAAUUCAAAAAUAGUGCAAAAAUGAUGGUAUCAACUCAACUACUGUUUGCUUGUUCUUGUGAUAUGCUGGGCUCAGUUUACAUAGGAAUUAGGAACAUAAAUUAUGUGAUUUCAUUUUUGUUUCAGGCUCAAAUCAAGGUGGUAAUAAUUUGACUUUGAAAGGAUGGCCUUUAACAGUAAGUUUUAUUAAGAUUCGCUUUACCCUAGAGUGGUAAUAACUCUUAGUAUCACAGUUCUAUUUGGUGGAAAUAAAUUGUUUUUACUUAUCACCUGUAUUUAUGAAUUGUAACUUUUACUUUUCAUGUAUCUCUUUUGAAUGGUUAUCAUUUUAUCCGUUUUUUAGGGAUUAGACCAACUGCGAUCUGGGAUACUACAACAGCAAAAACCUUUUAUACAGGCUCCUCAGCCCUUUCACCAACUUCAGAUGUUGACACCACAGCACCAGCAGCAACUCAUGCUUGCUCAGCAGACUCUGACAUCACCAGCUGGCAGUGAUGAAAAUAGAAGACUGAGAAUGCUGUUGAAUAAUAAUCGGACCAUGGGCCUUUCAAAUUCUGCUGGUGAUGUUGUUCCAAAUGUAUCACCAUUGCAGGCAGGCAGUCCGCUUAUGCAUCGGGGAGAUGCUGAUGUACUGGUGAAGGUAUUACUGUCUGUACGAAGUUUGUUUUUCCUACCCUUUCUCUUGAAAGGAAAUUUCAGUUUUACCUUUGUUUGCUAGGUAUUUUGCUAUCACAUAAGUUUUAUGGUCAUCUAUUUUUUUAGAUAUUUAAUCCACCUUGCAGUUAAAAUUGGCUCAGUUGCAACAGCAACAGCAGCAACUGCAACAACAACAGCAACAGCAACAGAACAGUAGCUCACAGCAUGCACUCUUGAAUCAGCAACCACAGACUUCUAAUCCAAGUCUACUUCAACAAGAUAAAGUUGGUGGAGGUGGAAGUGUCACUGUGGAUGGUAGCAUGUCAAACUCAUUUCGAGGGAAUGAUCAGGUUUGCCCUUUUCUGGUUAUUUCUAAUUCAUCUUGCUUCCAUGUGUCACUCUUCUGGAGCGUUCCUUGUGGUUCUUGGGUCAGUAUGGGCAUGGUAGAGAUUUGUCCCGCUGAAGAAAUUUCUAGCUGAUAGGCCAACUCAUUUUUUUUUUGAAUUUCCCAUUAAUUCUUCUCCUCCAUCCCCUGCUCUUGGAAUAAUGGUACAAUUUCAUUAGAAAGAUUUGGAUUGAAU
rnacentral:lncRNA from 1 species